GAUGAACGCUGGCGGCGUGCUUAACACAUGCAAGUCGAACGAAGCACUUUAACCUGAUUCUUCGGAUGAAGGUUUUUGUGACUGAGUGGCGGACGGGUGAGUAACGCGUGGGUAACCUGCCUCAUACAGGGGGAUAACAGUUAGAAAUGACUGCUAAUACCGCAUAAGACCACAGAGCCGCAUGGCUCGGUGGGAAAAACUCCGGUGGUAUGAGAUGGACCCGCGUCUGAUUAGGUAGUUGGUGGGGUAACGGCCUACCAAGCCGACGAUCAGUAGCCGACCUGAGAGGGUGACCGGCCACAUUGGGACUGAGACACGGCCCAAACUCCUACGGGAGGCAGCAGUGGGGAAUAUUGCACAAUGGGGGAAACCCUGAUGCAGCGACGCCGCGUGAGCGAAGAAGUAUUUCGGUAUGUAAAGCUCUAUCAGCAGGGAAGAAAAUGACGG
rnacentral:rRNA from 1 species